rnacentral:rRNA from 1 species
UACGUAGGGUGCAAGCGUUGUCCGGAAUUAUUGGGCGUAAAGCGCGCGUAGGCGGCUUUGCAAGUCGGGUGUGAAAUCCCCAGGCUCAACCUGGGAACUGCAUUCGAGACUGCAUUGCUAGAGUAUGGGAGAGGGAAGUGGAAUUUCAGGUGUAGCGGUGAAAUGCGCAGAUAUCAGGAGGAACACCAGCGGCGAAGGCGGCGCUCUGGGCCGGUACUGACGCUGAGGAGCGAAGGCGUGGGGAGCAAACAGG